rnacentral:rRNA from 1 species
UACGAAGGGGGCUAGCGUUGUUCGGAAUUACUGGGCGUAAAGCGCGCGUAGGCGGCCAGAUAAGUCCGGUGUGAAAGUCACAGGCUCAACCUGUGAAUGCCGCUGGAAACUGUCUGGCUUGAGUCCGGAAGGGGCGAGUGGAAUUCCUGGUGUAGCGGUGAAAUGCGCAGAUAUCAGGGGGAACACCGGUGGCGAAGGCGGAUCUCUGGGCCUUACCUGACGCUGAGGCGCGAAAGCUAGGGGAGCGAACAGG